rnacentral:rRNA from 1 species
GACGAACGCUGGCGGCGUGCUUAACACAUGCAAGUCGAACGAAGUGGCGGACGGGUGAGUAACGCGUGAGGAACCUGCCUUUCAGAGGGGGACAACAGUUGGAAACGACUGCUAAUACCGCAUGCUGAAAGAUGGCCUCGCGUCUGAUUAGCUGGUUGGUGAGGUAACGGCCCACCAAGGCGACGAUCAGUAGCCGGACCGAGAGGUUGACCGGCCACAUUGGGACUGAGAUACGGCCCAGACUCCUACGGGAGGCAGCAGUGGGGAAUAUUGGGCAAUGGGCGCAAGCCUGACCCAGCAACGCCGCGUGAAGGAAGAAGGCUUUCGGGUUGUAAACUUCUUUUAAGAGGGAAGCUGUACCUCUAGAAUAAGCCACGGCUAACUACGUGCCAGCAGCCGCGGUAAUACGUAGGUGGCAGGCGUUGUCCGGAUUUACUGGGUGUAAAGGGCGUGCAGCCGGGAAUGCAAGUCAGAUGUGAAAUCCAUGGGCUUAACCCAUGAACUGCAUUUGAAACUGUAUUUCUUGAGUACUGGAGAGGCAAUCGGAAUUCCUAGUGUAGCGGUGAAAUGCGUAGAUAUUAGGAGGAACACCAGUGGCGAAGGCGGAUUGCUGGACAGCAACUGACGGUGAGGCGCGAAAGUGUGGGGAGCAAACAGGAUUAGAUACCCUGGUAGUCCACACUGUAAACGAUGAAUACUAGGUGUGCGGGCGUGCCGCAGUUAACACAAUAAGUAUUCCACCUGGGGAGUACGAUCGCAAGGUUGCAACUCAAA